CACCUGGUUUUCUGGAACAUCCGCUUUGGGGAAGGUCUCUCUGGGAACCCAGUGGCGGCGCUGUGAUGAACACAGGUCACAGGAGGCCACUUGUGGGCACAUCAGGU
rnacentral:lncRNA from 12 species